rnacentral:rRNA from 1 species
AUUGAACGCUGGCGGCAUGCUUUACACAUGCAAGUCGAACGGCAGCGCGGGGGCAACCCGUGGCGGCGAGUGGCGAACGGGUGAGUAAUGUAUCGGAACGUAUCCUGUAAUGGGGGAUAACCAGUCGAAAGAUUGGGUAAUACCGCAUACGCACGAGAGUGGAAAGUAGGGGAUCGCAAGACCUUACGUUAUAGGAGCGGCCGAUAUCUGAUUAGCUAGUUGGUGGGGUAAAGGCCCACCAAGGCGAUGAUGGGUAGCCGGCCUGAGAGGGUGUACGGCCACACUGGGACUGAGAUACGGCCCAGACUCCUACGGGAGGCAGCAGCUAAGAAUAUUCCGCAAUGGACGAAAGUCUGACGGAGCGACGCCGCGUGGAUGAAGAAGGCCGAAAGGUUGUAAAGUUCUUUUGCUAGGGGAGAAUAAGUGAGGGAGGGAAUGCCCUCAUGAUGACAAGGACUAGCGAAUAAGCCCCGGCCAACUACGUG